AAGAAUGUACUUUCAGGGAUUGUUUCUGUAGUUUGUUACUAGGGAAGUUUCCCUGACUGUGUAGAGUACCAGAAACGAUGAGAAGGAGAUGGAGCAUUCUCUCCUGAGCAUGAAGUUGGAUCUUGGUGUUGCUUCACUGCAACUACCUUCGGCCAUUGAUGGUCAUUCUUCUUUCUUUUGGGAGAGUAGGGGAAGAGGAUGCAGUCUGAGUGGU
ensembl:snoRNA U3 Small nucleolar RNA U3